GACGGAGGAUGCAAGUGUUAUCCGGAAUCACUGGGCGUAAAGCGUCUGUAGGUGGUUUAGUAAGUCUGUUGUUAAAUCUUGGAGCUUAACUCCAAACCUGCAAUGGAAACUGCUAGACUUGAGUAUGGUAGAGGUAAGAGGAAUUUCCAGUGGAGCGGUGAAAUGCGUAGAUAUUGGAAAGAACACCGAUGGCGAAGGCACUUUACUGGGCUAUUACUGACACUCAGAGACGAAAGCUAGGGUAGCAAAUGGG
rnacentral:rRNA from 1 species